ACGGGAGGCAGCAGUGAGGAAUAUUGGGCAAUGGGCGCAAGCCUGACCCAGCGACGCCGCGUGAAGGAAGAAGGUCUUCGGAUUGUAAACUUCUUUUAUGUGGGACGAAACAAAUGACGGUACCACAUGAAUAAGCCACGGCUAACUACGUGCCAGCAGCCGCGGUAAUACGUAGGUGGCGAGCGUUAUCCGGAUUUACUGGGUGUAAAGGGAGCGCAGGCGGUACGGCAAGUCUGAUGUGAAAGCCCGGGGCUCAACCCCGGUACUGCAUUGGAAACUGUCGAACUAGAGUGUCGGAGGGGUAAGCGGAAUUCCUAGUGUAGCGGUGAAAUGCGUAGAUAUUAGGAGGAACACCAGUGGCGAAGGCGGCUUACUGGACGAUAACUGACGCUGAGGCUCGAAAGCGUGGGGAGCAAACAGGAUUAGAUACCCUGGUA
rnacentral:rRNA from 1 species